UAGGGAAUUUUCGUCAAUGGGCGCAAGCCUGAACGAGCAAUGCCGCGUGAACGAGGAAGGUCUUCGGAUCGUAAAGUUCUGUUGAAGGGAAAAAAGAGCGGAGAGAGGAAAUGGUCUCCGAUUGAUAUUACCCUUCGAGGAAGUCACGGCUAACUACGUGCC
rnacentral:rRNA from 1 species